UACGUAGGGGGGCAAGCGUUGUCCGGAUUUACUGGGCGUAAAGAGCGUGUAGGCGCCAGACAGGUCCGUUGUGAAAACUGGAGGCUCAACCUUCAGACGUCGACGGAAACCGUCUGGCUAGAGUCCGGAAGAGGAGAGUGGAAUUCCUGGUGUAGCGGUGAAAUGCGCAGAUAUCAGGAAGAACACCGAUGGCGAAGGCAGCUCUCUGGGACGGUACUGACGCUGAGACGCGAAAGCGUGGGGAGCGAACAGG
rnacentral:rRNA from 1 species